AAGGUAGCAUCCGAAAAACCUUAAACGAGUAGGAA
rfam:Flavobacterium sp. 40-81 scnpilot_p_inoc_scaffold_213, whole genome shotgun sequence.